UACGUGGAUAACCUACCUAUAAGACUGGGAUAACUUCGGGAAACCGGAGCUAAUACCGGAUAAUAUUUUGAACCGCAUGGUUCAAAAGUGAAAGACGGUCUUGCUGUCACUUAUAGAUGGAUCCGCGCUGCAUUAGCUAGUUGGUAAGGUAACGGCUUACCAAGGCAACGAUGCAUAGCCGACCUGAGAGGGUGAUCGGCCACACUGGAACUGAGACACGGUCCAGACUCCUACGGGAGGCAGCAGUAGGGAAUCUUCCGCAAUGGGCGAAAGCCUGACGGAGCAACGCCGCGUGAGUGAUGAAGGUCUUCGGAUCGUAAAACUCUGUUAUUAGGGAAGAACAUAUGUGUAAGUAACUGUGCACAUCUUGACGGUACCUAAUCAGAAAGCCACGGCUAACUACGUGCCAGCAGCCGCGGUAAUACGUAGGUGGCAAGCGUUAUCCGGAAUUAUUGGGCGUAAAGCGCGCGUAGGCGGUUUUUUAAGUCUGAUGUGAAAGCCCACGGCUCAACCGUGGAGGGUCAUUGGAAACUGGAAAACUUGAGUGCAGAAGAGGAAAGUGGAAUUCCAUGUGUAGCGGUGAAAUGCGCAGAGAUAUGGAGGAACACCAGUGGCGAAGGCGACUUUCUGGUCUGUAACUGACGCUGAUGUGCGAAAGCGUGGGGAUCAAACAGGAUUAGAUACCCUGGUAGUCCACGCCGUAAACGAUGAGUGCUAAGUGUUAGGGGGUUUCCGCCCCUUAGUGCUGCAGCUAACGCAUUAAGCACUCCGCCUGGGGAGUACGACCGCAAGGUUGAAACUCAAAGGAAUUGACGGGGACCCGCACAAGCGGUGGAGCAUGUGGUUUAAUUCGAAGCAACGCGAAGAACCUUACCAAAUCUUGACAUCCUUUGACAACUCUAGAGAUAGAGCCUUCCCCUUCGGGGGACAAAGUGACAGGUGGUGCAUGGUUGUCGUCAGCUCGUGUCGUGAGAUGUUGGGUUAAGUCCCGCAACGAGCGCAACCCUUAAGCUUAGUUGCCAUCAUUAAGUUGGGCACUCUAAGUUGACUGCCGGUGACAAACCGGAGGAAGGUGGGGAUGACGUCAAAUCAUCAUGCCCCUUAUGAUUUGGGCUACACACGUGCUACAAUGGACAAUACAAAGGGCAGCGAAACCGCGAGGUCAAGCAAAUCCCAUAAAGUUGUUCUCAGUUCGGAUUGUAGUCUGCAACUCGACUACAUGAAGCUGGAAUCGCUAGUAAUCGUAGAUCAGCAUGCUACGGUGAAUACGUUCCCGGGUCUUGUA
rnacentral:rRNA from 1 species